rnacentral:rRNA from 1 species
AUUGAACGCUGGCGGCAGGCCUAACACAUGCAAGUCGAACGAGUGGCGGACGGGUGAGUAAUGUCUGGGAAACUGCCUGAUGGAGGGGGAUAACUACUGGAAACGGUAGCUAAUACCGCAUACCAUCGGAUGUGCCCAGAUGGGAUUAGCUAGUAGGGGGGGUAACGGCUCACCUAGGCGACGAUCCCUAGCUGGUCUGAGAGGAUGACCAGCCAAACUGGAACUGAGAAACGGGCCAGCCUCCUAGGGGAGGAAGCAGUGGGAAAUAUUGCAAAAUGGGGGCAAGCAUGAUGAAGCAAGGCGUGGUGUAUGAAGAAGGCUUUCGGGUUGUAAAGUACUUUCAGCGGGGGGGCGUUACCCGAAGAAGAAGCCCCGGCUAACCCCGUGCAAGCAGCGGCGGUAAUUC